AAACCUGCAAGGAACAUAUAAAGACUAGCAUUUCACAUUAUUUCUUUUAACAGCAAAAACUUUGAACAAUUUUGUUGGGGUUUAUCUUUACAGUGUAGGUCUAGCUUUUGUAGACCCAAAGUCGCUCACCUGAGAAAACAAGAUAUUAUUGGGACCAAUCUUCUGACAAAGUUUCACGAAGAUCGGAAAAUAAAUGUGGCCUCCAGAGUGUAAACAAGAUUUUACUACAGCCAUAUGAGUAUAAAUGCCACGCCCCUUGGAAGCCAUUUUUUUCAAGCAAACAAUUAUUUUCAAACUCAUCCAAGAUAUCAUUGAGACCAAUCUUCUUACCAAAUGUCAUGAAGAUUGGACAAUAAAUGUGGCCUCUAGAGUGUUAACAAGGUUUUACUAUAGCCAUAUAAGGAAAAAUGCCCCGCCCCUGGUGGUCAUGUUUUUUAAGCAACCAAAACCAUUUUCGAACUCAUCCAAGAUAUCAUUGGGACAAAUCUUCUGACCAAGUUUCA